AUUGAACGCUGGCGGAAUGCUUUACACAUGCAAGUCGAACGGCAGCACGGGGGCAGCCCUGGUGGCGAGUGGCGAACGGGUGAGUAAUACAUCGGAACGUGCCCGGUCGUGGGGGAUAACGUAGCGAAAGUUACGCCAAUACCGCAUACGAUCUGAGGAUGAAAGCGGGGGACCUUCGGGCCUCGCGCGAUCGGAGCGGCCGAUGUCAGAUUAGGUAGUUGGUGGGGUAAAGGCCUACCAAGCCGACGAUCUGUAGCUGGUCUGAGAGGACGACCAGCCACACUGGGACUGAGACACGGCCCAGACUCCUACGGGAGGCAGCAGUGGGGAAUGUUGGACAAUGGGCGCAAGCCUGAUCCAGCCAUUCCGCGUGCAGGACGAAGGCCUUCGGGUUGUAAACUGCUUUUGUACGGAACGAAAAGGCUCUGGCUAAUACCUGGGGCUCAUGACGGUACCGUAAGAAUAAGCACCGGCUAACUACGUG
rnacentral:rRNA from 1 species